rnacentral:lncRNA from 1 species
UUUAACAAUUCUCCCAAAUAAGUGAUGUUUUAUAGAUUUUUUUUUUUUUGAGAGAUAAGUAGCACGCUAUCCGCUUCAUUCAUUUUUUUUAGAAAUAAACUUAGCUGGAAAUGUGAAUCAACUAAGAUUCGAACUUCGGAUCUCGGGUACUAACCACCAAACAUUUUGCCACUUGCUUUAGGGACGGUCGGUAUGUUUUAUGGACUUUUGAUGCAUUAUUAAAUCUAUAUAAUAUUUUGAGCUACGUAUGAAUAUCGAUUUAAAUCUUUUAUAUUAUAUAUACUCACAUAUCAAUAGUCCAUAAAAAUAAAAUU